rnacentral:rRNA from 1 species
UACGUCCCUGCCCUUUGUACACACCGCCCGUCGCUCCUACCGAUUGGGUGUUCCGGUGAAUAACUCGGACUGCCGCAGUCUUCUGCUUCUGAAAACUGUGGCGGAAAGUGUGGUGAAUCUUAACACCUAGAGGAAGGAGAAGUCGUAACAAGGUUUCCGUAGGUGAACCUGCGGAAGGAUCAUUC